rfam:Zootermopsis nevadensis contig13576, whole genome shotgun sequence.
GCCACGGUGGUCUAGCGGUUAGAACGCUGGCCUUGUAAUCCUGGGGUCUCGGGUUCGAUUCCCGGCGGUGUCC